GAUGAACGCUGGCGGCGUGCCUAAUACAUGCAAGUCGAGCGAACAGACGAGGAGCUUGCUCCUCUGACGUUAGCGGCGGACGGGUGAGUAACACGUGGAUAACCUACCUAUAAGACUGGGAUAACUUCGGGAAACCGGAGCUAAUACCGGAUAAUAUAUUGAACCGCAUGGUUCAAUAGUGAAAAACGGUUUUGCUGUCACUUAUAGAUGGAUCCGCGCCGCAUUAGCUAGUUGGUAAGGUAACGGCUUACCAAGGCGACGAUGCGUAGCCGACCUGAGAGGGUGAUCGGCCACACUGGAACUGAGACACGGUCCAGACUCCUACGGGAGGCAGCAGUAGGGAAUCUUCCGCAAUGGGCGAAAGCCUGACGGAGCAACGCCGCGUGAGUGAUGAAGGUCUUCGGAUCGUAAAACUCUGUUAUUAGGGAAGAACAAAUGUGUAAGUAACUAUGCACGUCUUGACGGUACCUAAUCAGAAAGCCACGGCUAACUAUGUG
rnacentral:rRNA from 1 species